AAUAGAUACCCAGGUAGUCCACGCCGUAAACGAUGUCGACUUGGAGGUUGUGCCCUUGAGGCGUGGCUUCCGGAGCUAACGCGUUAAGUCGACCGCCUGGGGAGUACGGCCGCAAGGUUAAAACUCAAAUGAAUUGACGGGGGCCCGCACAAGCGGUGGAGCAUGUGGUUUAAUUCGAUGCAACGCGAAGAACCUUACCUACUCUUGACAUCCAGAGAACUUUCCAGAGAUGGAUUGGUGCCUUCGGGAACUCUGAGACAGGUGCUGCAUGGCUGUCGUCAGCUCGUGUUGUGAAAUGUUGGGUUAAGUCCCGCAACGAGCGCAACCCUUAUCCUUUGUUGCCAGCGGUUAGGCCGGGAACUCAAAGGAGACUGCCAGUGAUAAACUGGAGGAAGGUGGGGAUGACGUCAAGUCAUCAUGGCCCUUACGAGUAGGGCUACACACGUGCUACAAUGGCGCAUACAAAGAGAAGCGACCUCGCGAGAGCAAGCGGACCUCAUAAAGUGCGUCGUAGUCCGGA
rnacentral:rRNA from 1 species